UACGAAGGAUCCUAGCGUUGUCCGGAUUUACUGGGUUUAAAGGGUGCGUAGGUGGAUGAUUAAGUCAGUGGUGAAAGCUUGCAGCUUAACUGUAAAAUUGCCAUUGAAACUGAUCGUCUCGAGUGUGGUUGAGGUAACUGGAAUGUUGCAUGUAGCGGUGAAAUGCUUAGAUAUGCAACAGAACACCAAUUGCGAAGGCAGGUUACUAAACCAUUACUGACACUGAGGCACGAAAGCGUGGGGAUCAAACAGG
rnacentral:rRNA from 1 species